CAAUAGCGUAUAUUAAAGUUGUUGCAGUUAAAAAGCUCGUAGUCGGAUUUCUGGUUGAAGCGACCGGUCGGGCGUUGAUUCGUCUGCACUGGAGUCGGUUUUGGCCAUCCUCUAGGAAAGUGCGUCUGGUAUUAAGUUAUCGGGCGUAUGAUCCUGGUCUUUUACUGUGAAAAAAUUAGAGUGUUUAAAGCAGGCCUUCGCCUUGAAUACAUUAGCAUGGAAUAAUAAGAUAGGACUUUGGUCUAUUUUGUUGGUUUGCAGACCGAAGUAAUGAUUAAUAGGGAUAGUUGGGGGUAUUUAUAUUCCGAUGUCAGAGGUGAAAUUCUUAGAUUUUCGGAAGAUAAACUUAUGCGAAAGCAUUUACCAAGGAUGUUUNCAUUA
rnacentral:rRNA from 1 species